GGAAGAUUGGCAGAGAGGUUUAUUGCACUUGUCUUGAAAACAAGCGAACAUGUGAGUGUUCCAGAGGUUCGAAUCCUCUAUCUUCCG
rnacentral:tRNA from 1 species